UGAACUUCAUCUUCUUCUCCUCCAUUUCACCUUUAGCCUCUCUUUCUCUUCUCUUUGUUUUCUCCAUUUUCUACUUGAAUAAUUCACCAAAUUCACUCCAUUUACCUUGAAUAAAGUAAGAAAAUCUAGAGAUUAAAGCUUGAGAAGUGGUUUUUAGGGAUUAAUUUCAAGGAAUUUGGAGAAUUCAUUAGGUGAAGUAAACUUCAUUAUUUUUGGAUUUAGAGUUUUCUUUUAGCAUAUACAUACUUAAUCAUGCUCCAAUUUCUUCUUUUCUUUGUUUUCUUUGUUUUGAUUUUGAGCUUAUUACAUGUAGAGGGUGGAGAGCCUUCUAACAAAGAUAAAGGCAAGACCAAAGUUUAAGGAGCUUUGAUUCAAGUUGUUUUAAAGGUUUGUGUUCAUAAACACACUAACCUUACUUCAAUUUUUGGAUUUGUGAAGUUUGUACUACUUUGUGAAAAUUUGGGAUUUGGUAUGAAAUGAUUUGAUUGCUGGAAUUUGGUUGUAUAAAUGUGUUCUUGAGUGUUUUCUAAGCCUACCUAUAUGUUGAAUUUAUGAAGAAAUUAUUUUUCUCUUCUUCUUCCAAAAGUGGCAGAAUUUUACCAAGGGAAAAUGUUAAUGGGUGUGUUUAAGGACUAUUUUUCUAUUCGUUUUAUUUUCCCUCUGUAUUUGAGUCCUUCAUAAAAGUUGUAGGUAUAUUUCUUAGCUUUCCAACCCAUCCUCUUGUGUCCAAUUUUGAUAUAUAUAGCUCACCUUAUGACUAAAACAUCUAAACUGACUCUGUUGUAACGUACCACAUGCAGCAAUAGAUUGAGUGANN
rnacentral:lncRNA from 1 species